AUAUUUUACACAUAAAAUUAAUAAAAAAUUUAAAAUAAGAUUUAUAAUAUUAUAAUACUAUAUUUAUUAUAUUUUAAGACUAGAGUUACAAAAGAAACUUAAUGAAAGAAACUUAAUAAAAGAAACUUUCAAAUAAGAUACAUGAAGACAUAAUUAUUACACAAAUUUAAAUAUUACAACAACACUAAUAGUCUGGUAAAUUAGCUCCGAAACCUCCAAAUUUCUAAAAUAUUGUCCAAACAAAUUUUGUGUAACCGAAGAUGGAGCAUUACGAUAAUAAUUUUAUGAUAUAUUGUGGUAUCUUGCUUGUAGUUUUAUAUUUAAUUAUGUAUUUCAAUUUAUAGUUUUAUAUGUUUAAUGUAAGAUUUUAUUAAUAUAUAUUCACAUAAUUUUUUUUAUAUAUGUGCUAGUUAUUUAUAACAGUUUCUGUAGAUUUAUAUCGGAGGGAUUAUUAAUUAUAACAAUAUAAGGACCAUAGUGUAAAAUACAAAUAAUUUUAAAGUUAACUUUGAAGUAGAGUUUGCAAACUUUAAAAUAGAGAGUCUUUUUAGAGAUGCUCUAGUAUAUCUUACACUUUUUUAAAAAAAUUUAUAUGUUGGAUCACAAUAUAAAUCAACCUUUAAUCAUUUAAAUAAAGUCCUACUUAGCAAAGAUUUAGAUUUAAUGUAUUACUAAAAAUGUACCCUUACAAUAACUAAUGUUUCUUUGCUUUAUAACAUUAUUAGUUACUUUGCCGAUUAAUGGAUUUUUUAUGACUUAUGUCUGGUCAAAUUGUUCAGUAUCCGGUUCACUUGUCCAAGUUGUUAAGCUAUGAAUAUUCCUAAAAUCAUACGUCAAUACUAAUCUCGUUUAUACUAUAAUCUCGAAUCAAUUAACCAAUCUAUAACCUUUUUAUUGAAAUUGAUCCAAGUAAAAAAUUGAUUUUAAUUAUUUUUACCUUCAAACUAUAUUUUUUUACAUCAACGAUCAGGGGACUCCAAAAACCAAUCUACUAUAUAAUAUUCCUUCCAUUUCAUUUAGUUAUCAUUUUAUAAUUUACUACAAAAUACGUGUUGUUCUAGAAUUUCAUUGAAACUUUUAUUAACUUAAUAUGAUAUAUGAUUCUUUAUAUUCUUCUAUUUAUUUUUCUGUUGGUUGAAAUAUGAUUAGAUGUAUCAUUAAAAAUAUUUUUGUUUAGAAAAUAUACAAAAUUAGAUGUUUUCUUAAUUUAUGUUUACAAAUCUAAAAUAACAAUUAAAAUGAAACAGGUUGUCAAGAAAAAAAAUUAAAAUGAAACAAAGAGAAUAUAAUACAAUGAUUUUAAGUAGCACUACAAAAAUAGAUGGUUUAACAUCAUUUAUAUUAUAUAUUUGUAUCAAUUAUAAAUGAUACAAAAUCAUUUUGCAUCAUUUAAAUAAAUGACUCUGAAAGUGGUGAUGCAAAUAAUUUGAAUCAUUUUAUUAAGAACUGAUACAAAAAUAUUAAAUUUUUACAUCAACAAUUAGAAGUGAUGUCAAUAUGUAUCAAUUAUAAAAAAAUGAUAUUAACAUUUGCAUCAGGUUUUUUAAAUGAUAUAAGUAUUAACAUCGGUUAAAAUAAUUGAUUCUAAUUAUUUAUAUCAUUUAUAAAUAACUGAAGUUAAUUAAUAUCACGUUUUCAAAAUAAUUUUAAUUAUUAUAUUAUUCAUAGCAACUGAUUUAAAAUAUUAUUAUUAUUAUUUAUAUGUAAUUGAUGUUAAAUAAUGCCAGUAAAUAAAUUUAUGUUAAUAGAUAAAUUAAAUAAGAUGUUUUUAUUAAUUAUUGUUCCACUAAAUACAUUAUGGCUCAAAAAAUUAUAUAGCGCAGCUUCAAAAAAAAAAACAACAAGAAAAAGAUAAAUUCAUAAUAAAAGAUAGUAAAACAGUUCAACUGAAUUAGCCAUGAAAAUUUACUCGAAUUCUUCUUCUUCCUCCUCCUUUUUCUUAUUUUCUGUCAUCAAUCUCUGUUGGUGGCAUGAAGAUUAUACUCGUUAAUUAGUGAAGUUACUUAACGAGAUUUGUCGAUGAAUUCUCCAUCAUCCUCUUUUCCUUAACAUCAUCACCUCUUCCAGUACCUGAUUUUAACAUUAAUGAAAGAUCAAUUUGCCAUGAAUUUAAUGUUCUAAAUACUUUAAGUUUCAAAAGAAAAAGUGAGAAUUUAAGCAAUAAAAAAACAAGAAGAAGAUGAAGAAAAUACACCUUUUCUUAAUCUUUCUAUUGAUUCGUCUGGUUAGCAAAUCCUAGUAUCCGAUCCUUUCAACUCUUAGUUUAUAAGAAACUGAAAACUCCAUGAAUGACAGAAUGAGAACCACGAUAAAACAAGAUAUAACUUUAUUGAGGUGAAGCAGUUAUAGGAAGAUUAAUAUCUAAUUAAGUUAAAGAAAAUAAAUCAAAGCCUUAAAAAUCGUAACUUCCGUGAUCUCUAUUUUUUGGAGUUGGUGCAGUUACAUAUCUAGCGUACACAAAAAUUAAAUAACAAUAAAAAUUAUACUUAUAUAUAUGUCAAUUGUAUAAGUGAUGCACAAUAGUUUUGUUUAAUAUCAAGCAUUUUAAAUGAUGUAAAAUAAGAUCAAAUGACAUCGUUUAUAUUUAACUGACAUUAAAGAAAAAAUAGUUAUAUCAGUUGUUAUAAUCGAAGUUGAUAUUUUUUGUUAGCAUCAAUUUUUAUUGAUGUAAAUUUUGUAUCAUUUUAAUAAGUGAUAUUAACAAAAACAAACAAAUACAUCAUUUAUAUAAUUGAUAUAACUAUAUAUAAUAGUAUCAUUUUGUUAAAGUGAUACAAAUUACAAAAGAUAUAUAUCAUUUUAUUGAAUUGAUGUCAAAUAAAUAAAAAAAAACAUCACUUAGUAUAACUGAUGUUAAAUUAUAUAUAUUUGUCUCAUUUAUAAAUAAGUGAUUUAAAAUAGAAUCAUUUAAUUUUGUGAUACCAAUUAAGUGAUGUAAUUCACUUCUUUUUUUGUAGUGUAGUACCAAUGAGAUUAUUCAUAAUUAGUCUAAUGGAAAACUGGUUAUAAAUGUAGGCUAAGAAAGCAUGAGAAAUCGACACAUCAGCAAAUGAUAGGUUGUAAAAAAAUAUAAAAGCUAGGAUAGUUUUAAAAUUUGAUUAUCCUUUAAUAAGUAAGAGAGGCUAUAUAGUAUGCUGUAAAUAUAAAUGAAUAUGAAUAUAUGUCUAUAUAGUAGUGUGCUAUUUAGUAUGCUGUAAACCCUUGUCCAAAGAAUAUUAAGAAACUAUAAAUUAGAACAGAAAAUUUUAUUCAGCUGUAUCAAUGAAUUAAUGAAUAUGCUUGUAUAGCCAACUCUAUGAUAAAUUAGAACAGUUCAUAAAUUAUAUUACUAACACAUAUUUUGUGUUAUUUCUAAAGACCAAGUUACACAUUUGAACAUUUAACAAUUUUUUACGUUUGUAUUUGACUGGUUUAUGGCAGAAGUGAGGGUUUUCUUGUGUGUUCUUUAUGAUUCUUCAUAGUGGUUGAAAUGAUUAUAUGGUCCGUAAAUGAAUUAUUCAAUAGCAGAGAUAUAAAUAUUCUAGUAAUUUAAAGACAUUAACUUAAUGAGGCUGAGAGUGUCUGUAAGAGCCACACAUCAGCUGGUUUGGUUGUAAUUAACAUACAAAAGCAAGAUUUUUUUUUUACAAUGUUUCUUAAUUAAUAAAAAAGGAUUUUUUAAUAGUAAGACAAUCCCUUAUAUAUUAUUGUUAUUUCAUUAACAAACGUGAUUAAUAUACGCGGGAUUGAUACAAAACUUUAUUGUUAGUUCUAAUAACAUACAUACAUUAAUAUAUAAGGGGUUAAUAAAUUUUCCUAGAGAUUAAAAUGUUGGUUUAAUAUUUUUGUAGACUCAUUGUAAACCUGCCACAUAAGCAGUGUAAAGUCUUAAGGUGAUGACAACUCAACAAGAUUAAAAUGAAAUUAAUAAAAAAUAGAAACUUAUCAUUUUAAUGUGUUCAUAAAUAAUAUAUAGGGAAUUAGAAUAUAUUUUUUCUAUUUAAUUGAUUACAAUAUUUUUUCAUGGUGAGAUCUCGGAAAGUACACAUAGUCAUCAAUGUAGUCAGCUUUGCAUUUGUUAACUUUCAUUCACUUUCCUCUGACAAUCUUCACAUAUUUAUGUCAUAAUGCUUAUUUUAGAUUUUUAAAUCAUAGUCAUCAAUGUUUCAAUAUAGUGCAUAUUUUAGAUUUUUAACUUAUUAAUAAAAUAUCACAUAAAUGUAUAUUUUUUGUGAUUAUCUUUUUCCCAUAAUUCUAAACCAAUAAGAAUCCAAUAAGUGCAAUUAAGGUUUUUAAAACUUUUAAUUAAUUAUUGUUAUUUGAUAAAAAUAAGCAUUGAAAAUAUAAAAAAAAUGAAUCUUUUUGAAAUAAAUAUUUUUUCUAAAAUAUGUAACUUUAUGAAAUAGAAGGAGUAUAUAAAUAUAGACUUUAAAACAUUCAAAACACAAUCACUAAAAAUCAAAGAAUUCUCUUACAGCUUCUAAUUCACAAAUUAUUAGUAGUCUGUUUUGUUGUGGUACUGAUUAUGGCAAAACUAUCAUGUUCUUAUUUCCUCAUACUCAUGUUUGUGUUCUCAGUGGUUCUAGUAGCUGAAGGAGAAGAUGAUGAAAACUGUAUUGUAUUUAUGGAUCCAAAAAAUCCAUGUAAUAUUGUUGAUUGUCGUCAAAACUGCUAUGAGGGAUACAAUGGAGUUGGAAAAUGUGUUAAAGAUGUUAAAGCUGGUGGAGAUACUUGUCUUUGUACUUAUAAUUGGAAUUGUUGAAGGUAAAAUUUAAUUAAUAAUGUUGUAUAAUUUUUUAAAAAAUCUUAAUAUAUAUUAACAAAAUGCUGGGAAGUUCUUCAACCAUUUUUCUGAUUGAAUAGUUAAAUUUGGACUAUAUCACAAGGUAUCAAGAAAUAUUUCCUUUAGGUACCUGAUUUUCUCAUAGCUGUAUGUAUAUAUAUAUAUUUAAGUUGUGAUUGAUUAAAAAGAAGUCACUUAUGUAACUUUUUAUGAUGUGUCGCUCAUACAAGAAUUUUCAUUAAAAUUGUCUUAGUUUGAUUGGCUAAUGCUUUUUUUAUUUUUUUUAUCUAUUUGAUAAAAAGUAACUAGAUGGUUUUCAGCGAAUUUGCAGAUACAAAACUUUUAAAAAUUUAAUAUAAUGUAAUAGUAUUUAUGUUUUUGGCAUGCUAUAAUAUUUGCUAUAAUAUUUUUUUUGUUAUUAAAAAUUGAAUGUUUGGCAUAUAUUUUUAAAAUAUUUUUAAAAUAUUUAAUUUAUUUUGACUAUUUGAUUGUUUCUUACAAGUAUAGGAAUGAUAUUUUGUAAUGUUUAAUUAGAGUUUUCUAUCAACAAACAUAUAUAGGCGGUUAAGAUUUUUUUCAUUAAAAACGAGAAUUUCAUUAUAACAUUCGCGUCGAUAACAUAUAUAGUUUAAUAGGUUUGUAAAUCAAAUUUUUUGUAUAAUUGUUUUUAUAAAAACAUGAAUUCAUGUGACGAAUAAAUCCACGAUUACAACUAAAAUAAAACCACAAAAAUUAUUAAGAAGGAACAUAACUAUAUAUAUUUUUGAGCUCCGGUGGUAGGGUGGUAAUGAAAAGGACUUGGAACGCCAAUGCGUUUUAGGUUCGAUCGACAUGUUGCGUGAAACUAAAUCACAUUACUCUUGAACAUCCACAUGGAUAUCAGCCCUUACUUUCCGCCCAUUUGAAUACCAGGAGAAAGAUUUAUCCAUGGGUUACAGCUUCCGUUAGAGAUUAGUGUAGACCCUUCCAUAGGUUCGGAAUACCCUCAAGGUAAUAAAAAUGUAUAGUUUAGCUUUGUGAUGAUAAUUUUAUUUUAAGAAAAGUGUAUGAGUUUGUUUUUAUUUUAUUUAUAAUGUAAACUGAUAUAAGAAUUUUUAACUAUAGAAAUUUAAAUGUAUUUUUUAACAAUAAUCUUAGUCAUUUCUUAAAGAAUUAUUUAAGAUAAAAUUUUAUUCGAUUAGAAUUUCCAUAAUAAGAAACCUUCAUAUAUAUAUAUAUAUUGAAUUUUACUUUGUAUUUAAAAUGUUAUAAUAUGGCUCUAAAUUUUGAAUAUUCAAAAAAUGAAAAAAUAUUGAAGGCUUCCUUUUUAAUUGAAUGUUUCAAAUUAAUGUUUUUAUUAUUGAAUGUGUUUGACAAAAAAAAUUGUCAUAAAUUUAAAGAUAUAUUUUUAUUCAUAAUAUUGUUUCGGUUUUUCGGAAACUGAUAUAAGUUUGUUUAUAGUUAUUUUCCCAUUGAUUCUGAUUUUAUAACAUCGUUAUAUUUUUUGUAACGUAAACUGAUAAGAAGUUCCAGUUAUAUAAAAUUUGAAUGUAAUUGUUCGCAAGAAUAUUAGUCAUUUCUUAAAAAAAAUGAUUUAAGAUAAAUUAGUGUCCGAUUUUAUUUUCUAUAAUCAGAAAUAUUCAAGUAUAUUACACUUUUGAAUGUUCAAAAAAAUGGAAAAUAUUUGAAAGCUUCUUUUUAAAUUGGUAACAAAUAUAUCAUAAAUUUAAAAACAUAUUUUUAUUUAUAAUAUUUUUGUUUGUUUGACAACUGAUUUAAAUUGGUUUAUAAUUAUUUUCCUUCUAAAUAAAAUUAGAGAAAUCUUUUUCAUCUUUGAUGUAUUGAAAACAGUUUUUCAAAUGAUGAUAUUGUGAAGAAAAUAAUAUUUUACGAUUGAUUCUGAUUUUAUAACCUCUUAUAAAUUAAUUUAUACAUUUAUGAAAUAACUUACAAAAGGUUUAUAAAUUUUAACUCUUAUAAAUAAUUUCACAUAAAUUUAAAAUUAUUAUAAAUAGUUUCAUAAAUCCUACUAAAUGGUUUUAUAAAUUAAGAAAAGAAGUUAAUAGCUCUUAUAAAUAAUUUAUAAACUUUCGCAAUGAUUAAAGACUUCGUGGAAUAGUUUUAUUAUAACUUAAUGCUGGUUUAAAUUUUAAAACAUUUACAAACAUGUUAAUUUUCAUAAAUAGUUUCAUAAGCUUCUCUGAAUGAUAUAUUAUUCCUUAUAAAUGGUUUUAUAAAUCUUUACAAUUAUUUUGUAAACUCUUAUUAAUUAUAAAAUACACACUAUUGAUGAUUUAAAAAAAUGGGUUUUUUGCAAAAUUGACUCAAAACUCAAAGUCAACCACAAAACUAACUUAUGUUUUUUUUACAUUUAUUUUGUCCUAUUCACCCCAGAAGUUCAGAUUAUUCACGAAAAUACUAUUAAAUUAUUAUUUUUUUCGAAAAUGACUUUUUUACUCUCUCAAGCUCAUCAUCUUCAAGUAUUUACAAGAUUGUCAUUGUCAUGAAUAUACCAACCACCAUGAACAAUCAAUUUGAAGUUUUUAAUGCACCUCAAAUUGAUUUACACUUCUUCUUUCUCAAAUUGAUUUACACUUCUUUUUUCUCAAUUCUUAUGAACUAAAAACAACAUUUCUUUCACUUUCUCUUCAUAUUCAUCCAAAAUAACUCAAGAUUUUGAUUAUAAAAUUUUUAUGGUUCAUAGAGCCAUUGAAGCUUACGAUUCUUGGUGGGUCACUUUUGUUUGAGAUUUUGGAUGCUUGGAGAAGACUUAUGUGUGCUAAACAAGUUAUCUCACUAGUUGAAACUAUGAAAUCAGUUUUUUUUUUCAGAUAUGUUCGCCCAGUCGAAUUCUGGGUAAGUCUUCUGGCUGUAGACGACUUACAAGGAAGUCUUCUCGUCAAUGCAGAGGUUAGUUUUGCAAUUAACUUUUAAAUGUGUUCUUAGAGACGACUUACAUUGAAGUCGUCCAUAUUUGUUUGUAAAAAAAAAUUGAGACGACUUCCAUGUAAGUCGUCUAGGGUAAACAUAUUAGUUUUGCAUUUGACCGGAUUGUGUCAGAAAUUUGAUUUUUCCUGGACGACUUACCCAUAAGUCGUCCCGUAGAAAAUUAAAAAAAUCAAUAUUUUGUUAUAUCUAAACGACUUUCAUUGAAAAAUAAAACAUAAAAAUUUAUUUUUGUCUGCUAGACGACUUACACGAAAGUCGUCCAUGAUUUUAUUCCGAAAUUCUGGUCAAACCUUGUUUAUCUUGGAAUGAAUCCGCUAAAAAUGGUAAUGGUCUCAGGCAAAAUCCCGUACACAAAACUACAAAGCGCAUGAACAACGUAUCCGGUCACGCGCUUGUGCGGGGGCUAUGCCCCUAGUAAUGAUAAGUCCAUGAUUGAAUCUUUGUCCAUGAUUAUACACUCGUUUAGUUCAAAAAAAUAUCAGGGUUUAUAUUUUUAUCAUGCGAGGACUUAGCCAAAUUUAAAACAGAACGUUCUCAUCAUUUUAAAAAUCAAUUUUUUAAACAGAACAGUGACGACAAUGAUUAACUACAUUAGAUUUUACGAUCAACUGAACCUUAAACGUAACUAAAUUUAACGAUUGUGUUUCGUUUAGUUUUGGCACGUUUGUAAAUUGUAAUAACCCAAAACCAAACUUGAUUUUAUGCACAAAUCUAUGCAUAUAUUUAUGUAAGUCGUUUAUAUGUACUAAGGUUAUAUAUUAUUGUUGACGUUCAGCAACACUCAACAACUCUUCUAUGUUGUAAAAUCGAUCGUACGUAUAAACGAAAUAAUAAUAAACAAUAAUAUCAUACCGUACGAUGCAUCUGUAGUUUACUUUCUUUCGUAGACAAAGAGCAUGUUCAAGUUCAUGCUACUUAUCAUAAAAGCAUUGGGAAUAGUCAUAUGUAAACACAACAAAAUAAAAUCAAGAAAACAAGAACAAAUAGUUUUCUAUAGCAAAGUUUCUAUAAUAUUUGUACAGAUUGCUUCCUUUUUAGUCCUCGUGGAAUCAUGUAAAUAAUUAAAAUAUAGAAUAGAUCAUGAUGAAAAUAUAUGAAAAUAAUCAUUUGAAUCCGAGAGAUUGCAAUCAUGAGUAUUGUAAAGCAUGUGAUUAGCCCAUCAUUAGAUCAAGUGGCACAUACAUUCAUAAGGCAACUCGAUCUAUUACUUGAAAAGCAAAUGAACCAAAAAAAAGUUAAGUUCACAUAUAGUUAAUUUACAACAACAAAAAAGUUCACGUAUAGUUCUGUUAUUAAAAAGAAGAAGAAAGUGAAAGUUAGCAUAUGUUCAAAAAAUAAGUGAAGAUCGCAUAUAUUCAAUUUGGUAAAUGGCAAAGUAGUCCAAUUAUAGCAAUUGAAAGGAAAAAUUAAUAUUUUACUUUCGAUUAAUAACUUGCGUUAUUAUUAUUUUACCAAAAAAAAAACUUGCGUUAUUAUUUCAUGUGGAUGUUUGAUUUAUAAAAUUAAUAACUAUCUAUUAGAAGUUAGAACUAAGCUCUAACUUCUAUUUUAAUCAGUUAGAUGAUACGAUAUAUGUUAAGCACGUUUCACUCAAUUAAUAAGCAGGUAAAAAUAUAUAACUCAAAAAACUCAGCCAGAAAACAACUAAAAAAAAUCAGUUUUGUUGUUUUUUUUUUUGCUUAACAUCAGUUUACGUUGUUGACCAUCGCUUGUAUGCAUGGUGGAAUUGAGUUUAGUUCAGUUUAAUGGUUAUAUGAUUUUACGUGUGUAGAUGUACCACAUGUAUGAUAAGAAAACAGUCAUAGUGCAAGUGGCAAUGACCUGCAUGUCGAACUGAGAUCCCAUAGUUACACCGAAACAACAGUGGAGAAAGAUAAAUCGAUUUCGAUGGCGAACCAAACAGGAUGAAAGAACAAAAACGACUUAGGAUGAUAAGUAAACGAACUUUCUGACCAUGAGUUGAUUGGGGAAAAGUACUAUUAUCAAAGUCCAUAAUUGAAAACCAAAAAUAUGGUACAACUGCAAGUGAUCAUAAGUAGCCACAAAGAAUCUCACGUUCCCAAAAAUAAUAGCAUGCGUAAAGGUAAAAGAAAAGAAAGAGUAUUAAAAAGAUUAGUUCUAAAAAAAAAGAAGAUUAGAAAACAUAGAGAAAAAGAAAUCUCCAUUGCAGAUUGUCUCGUAAUCUUACAUGAUUUACAUGGGCCAAUCCUAAAAGGCACAAACUCAUUCCACUUUCAAUCAUAUUAUUAGAUGGUGAUGAUCAUCUCAUUUUGCACAUUUUCAUGCAUGUGACCCACUUUUUGUAUCUUAAAAAUUUCCCCAAAGAGACCUUUAGAAUAAACGAGAAAGUCCACAUAGUGAAGGUUACCUCAUCUAUUUAAACAUACACAUUUCCAUUGUUCUACAUAACAAAAUUCAUCACUACAAAUCAUCUCAUAGUCUCCCUUCAUUUCACAUUCUGAGUGUAAGCAGAAGUAUACUAAUAAAAAAUGGAUUUCAAUGGUGAUGCAGCGGACAACUAGGUUGAACGGUCGAUCUAAGAAUUUAGGGUUCUUCGAGACCUGUUCUUGGAUCAAUCAAGAGUUUCUUUCGAUAGCUUCUUGAGACCAACUUCCUGAAUAAGAUGAAUUUAAUCGAAUCUUGUUCAAGGCAACUCAAAAUAGAUGAACUGAAUCAAAUCUCUUUUAAGGUAAUAAGCAAAAGCUCUAUUAUUAAUUAUCAAAGUCUCCCUACAACUUUAGGCUUCAAUGCCUAUUUAUAAUAAAUCCUUAAUCUAAAAAACCCUAAUCUUAAUUAAAAUAGGAAAACCAUUAAAAUAUAGAAAAUAUAAAUAAAAGGUAAUUAUCUAAAUUAAUAUAAC